rnacentral:rRNA from 1 species
CACCUCUAGCAUUUCCAGUAUUAGAGGCACUGCCUGCCCAGUGACAUCUGUUUAAACGGCCGCGGUAUCCUAACCGUGCAAAGGUAGCAUAAUCACUUGUUCCCUAAAUAGGGACUUGUAUGAAUGGCCACACGAGGGUUUUACUGUCUCUUACUUCCAAUCAGUGAAAUUGACCUUCCCGUGAAGAGGCGGGAAUGACUAAAUAAGACGAGAAGACCCUAUGGAGCUUUAAUUAACUGAUUCACAAAAAACAACACACAAACCUAACCUUCAGGGACAACAAAACUUUUGAUUGAAUCAGCAAUUUCGGUUGGGGUGACCUCGGAGAACAAAACAACCUCCGAGUGAUUUAAAUCCAGACUAACCAGUCAAAAUAUAUAAUCACUUAUUGAUCCAAACCAUUGAUCAACGGAACAAGUUACCCUAGGGAUAACAGCGCAAUCCUAUUCCAGAGUCCAUAUCGACAAUUAGGGUUUACGACUUCGAUGUUGGAUCAAGACAUCCUAAUGGUGCAACCGCUAUUAAGGGUUCGUUUGUUCAACGAUUAAAGUCUU